UCCCUGGUGGCUCAGAGGGUAAAGCAUCUGCCUGCAAUGCGGGAGACCUGGGUUCGACCCCUGGGUUGGGAA
rfam:Ovis aries breed Texel chromosome 1, whole genome shotgun sequence.